rnacentral:miRNA from 1 species
UCACUGGAAAGGCAAUAUCAUU